rnacentral:rRNA from 1 species
GAUGAACGCUGGCGGCGUGCCUAAUACAUGCAAGUCGAGCGAACGGACGAGAAGCUUGCUUCUCUGAUGUUAGCGGCGGACGGGUGAGUAACACGUGGAUAACCUACCUAUAAGACUGGGAUAACUUCGGGAAACCGGAGCUAAUACCGGAUGAUAUUUUGAACCGCAUGGUUCAAAAGUGAAAGACGGUCUUGCUGUCACUUAUAGAUGGAUCCGCGCUGCAUUAGCUAGUUGGUAAGGUAACGGCUUACCAAGGCAACGAUGCAUAGCCGACCUGAGAGGGUGAUCGGCCACACUGGAACUGAGACACGGUCCAGACUCCUACGGGAGGCAGCAGUAGGGAAUCUUCCGCAAUGGGCGAAAGCAUGACGGAGCACCGCCGCGUGAGUGAUGAAGGUCUUCGGAUCGUAAAACUCUGUUAUUGGAAAGAACAUAUGUGUAAGUAACUGUGCACAUCUUGACGGUACCGAAUCAGAAAGCCACGGCGAACUACGU